GGAUAACAAUAAAGCAGGUAGGGAGAGAGUAAUGAGGGAAAGUUGUUUUAGAUGGGGUUAUUAGGGAUGAACUUUCUAAGGAUUUUGGCAAAAUUGGAAGAAAGAGAAUGUGUCAUCUGAUUUCCUGAGGGAAGAGCAUCCCCAUCAGUUUUAAAAACAAGUUUAAAAAAAUGCCUGAAGUAGUAAUUCAUGUUUUUUAUUUUUGCUUAAUAUUUCUUCUUUUCCUCCCUUCCAGGCACAUGGAAUGUAGUUUCUGGCCCUUUUGUGUUGUGAUGGGUCUUACGGCAAAUUCUGUCCAACAAAUCGUGGAAAGAAAUAAUGUGUGUCACUUCUGGAUUGAAGCAUUUACUUGUCAGCUGGAAAACAUGUAAACAUCUCCUGCCAUCUCAGUAUCAUGAAAAACUCAGCUGUUUCUGCCCCCGCAGAGUCUUCGCCGACAGCAGACCUACAUCUCUAUCCACCCAUAUCCAGAGGAACAACCAUCCCUCAGGUACAGAAGUUGCUAUGUUACUCUGUUCAACGAGGCAGCACUUGCUCUUCUCUGGAAAUCAGUUUAUCAAGCCUUUAUUCUAUCUACUCUCUUCCAUUAUCCUGCUAGGAAAAGAUGUUCACUUAAUCCGUUUUGUUGAUGUUGCUCUUAGUAUGAUUCAUAAAGGUUCCUUGGUUAUUCCCCAUAUAAACUAGAAUCGGAAGCCAGAGACCAUUCAUGUUUGACCUUAAAUUUGUAUUCAUAGUUUUAUAUUAUUUUUCACAAAAUUUCCCCCAAAUUAAAUAAGCUGUAGGGCUCUAAUAACUACGUCUCUCUUGAAAGAGUUAAAACACUUCAUUCACAGUGCAAUUAAAAAAAAAAAUUAGGAGCUCUUGGAUGGCUCACUCACUAACAGCAUCCAACCCUUGAUCUCAACUCAGGUCUUGAUCUCUGGGUUCUGAGUUUAAGUUAAAACAUUUAAACAUUUUAAAAAAAUGUUUAAGUAAUCUCUACCUCCAGCAUAGGGUUCAAACUCACAACCCCAAGAUCAAGAGUUACAUGCUCUACUGACCGAGGUAGCCAGGUGCCCCCACAGUGCAAUUUUUUAAAUCAAGGAGACGUUAAGACA
rnacentral:lncRNA from 1 species